rnacentral:lncRNA from 1 species
AUGUAAAUUUUUAAAUAAUCUUGUCUAUAUCUACAAAAAUUAUUCCUGGGAUGUAUAUUAAACCUGUUCAUCAAUUUGAGAGAACUGACAUCUUUAUUAAGCUGAAUCUUCCAAUACAGAUAUUUCUACUUAUGUGGUUCUUCUUUAAUUUCUUUCAUCAGUAUUGUAUACUCUUCAUUUCAGUGUCCAUGUGUUCACUGAUAGUAUAGGGAUAUACAAUUGAUUUUUAUAUGUUUGUCUUGCAUCCUGUGACAUUACUGAACUUAGUUAUCAGGUCUUCUAAUGCUUUAUUUGUUUAGUAUCAUUCUUUUUCUCAUCUUUUGAACAUUUAACUCCUUAAGAAUCUGAAGUACACUACUUUUAUAGUAUAAAUUUCACAAGAAUUAUAUCUGAACUUCCUGAAGGUCAGAUUUUACAGGCAACUGAUUCUUAUGCACAGUCGAUUAUUUUCAUGUGUGUUUUGUAUUUUGGAUGUUAUGGUCUCCUCUUUAGUGACACAUUAUUAGCAGGAACUCAACAUAACCUGGUUUAUGCUGUUUAUGAUUUUACAUUUUCUUCUCAAGCACUCCAUGGAUAGUAUUAUUUUAGGACAAAUUUUUAUGUCAAUUUAAAAAUUAUGGAUGCAUUAGGGCACACCCACAAUCAAAAAUUACUUGAGAAUAAUUUUUCUACCAUAUAGAAAGCAUUUUUCCUUUAUAUGCUGGUGAUAUCACAAGAAACUAGGAAAAUGUCAGAAUUUUUCUGGUACAUUUUGCAGUCAGACUAUAGUUCUUUGAGGAUUUAAAUUUUCAGCAUCUCCGAAUUCAAAUUUCCCACUUCUUAUAGUCUGCUUUGUUUAACCAUCAAGACCAAGUUCCUUGGUUAGUGAAACUAAUAUUCAGUAUCCAAGACAAUCACAGUAGCACAAAUUAACUCAUACUAAUUUCUCUGAUGUUUCAUCUCCCUAUCAUCACCACCACCACUACCAUCCAUUUUGGACCAUAACUGAUUUCCUUUACUUUCUUAGAGUCAUGUGUUUAAGGGGACUUGUUCUACUUUUUCCAGCAUUUCAGAAUAUUUUGAAGUAUGAAGGGUUUAAUUUUAUUUAGACAUAAAUAAUAUCAGCUGUUAUUGUUUUUAUUAAGAUGGUCUCAAUAUUUUACUUAGAAUUUAUUAUCUAGGCUCAUACAUGAAAUGGGCUUUUAAUUUUAUUUCUUAGAAUUUUCAUUUGGCUUUGUAACUAAGGUUAUAGCUGCUUCUAAAUGAAUUGGGUGGCUUCAAUAUUUUAAUUUCUAGAACUAUCUGUAUAACAUAGAGAGAUUCUAUUACUCAAAUUUGUGGUGAAAUUCUGCUAGAAAACAUUCUAGGUCUGAGACUUUACUGGCAAGAAGCCUUUGAUCUCCACUGCUGUUACCUUCAGUGACUACUGGUUCACUCAUGUUCUUCUUUUCCUUAUACUCAUUUUGACAUUUUCUGAAAUCACCCAUUCUAUCUAUGCUUUCAACUAUAAGCAUAUAUUCCUUCAUGAUGUUAUUAUUAUUUUCUUUUAAAUAUGCUAUCAGUGGUGAUAUGGACUUUUUUCCUGCUGUAUUUUGUUCUUUGACUCUUCCUGUUUAGUCUACAUCAGUCCUGGGAGAGAGCUGACUGUCUGUCAUAAAGCUCUCAACCAGCUCUUGAUUUUGUUCUGUACUGAAGAACUUUAGAUACAAAAUCAUAAAAUUAAUGUCUUCCAGACUUUUUGGUUAUAAAGAUGUUUUCUACAGCUAUAAAUUCAAAAUAACAUCAAGCAAAUCAAGAAUUCAUUCACAUCUAGAUAGUGCUCAGAAUCAAUGUCUUUUUUUCUCACUAUGCCGGUAUUUUCAUGUCUAGCCCUCUUCACUAAUCACCUGAAUCAUAGCAUCCAUAUCACCCACUGUUAUGAUGAGCAAACCACCAGAACAAUCAAAGCAUCUGAGUUGCUCAGGCAACAGCUUUAUUCCAGCAGUUACCACAUCAUGACGAAUAGCAUUUUCCAUAAUAUAAAUCAUGCUUCCUAAGAAAACAAAAAUGUCAUCUUUACUUCCAUUGAUAAAAAUGCAUGCUGUUGAAGAAGGCCCUGUACUUACUUUAAAAAAAAAAAAAUGCAGAAAGCAAAGAGAACUCUUUCAAAAUUUUUUCAUAGGGGAAAUGAAACUAAGAACUUUAAAAUUAAAAGUGACCAUAGAAGUCAAAACAUUCAUCACCCUCAUUUUGAAGCAGUCUUGGCCCAGAUAAUUGACAAAUACAAGAUGACACAUGGAAAUCAGAACUAUGACCUGAUAAUGAAGUGAAUUUUUCUUCCUUACUGGAACAUGCUAGAAAAGGAGCAAAACUGCCAAGAUCUACAAACUUGAUAGUGAAGAAGGGAGGAUGAAGAAUGGGAAGUGCAAAUUACUCAAAUUGGUAUUACCGUUCUCACU